UACGUAGGGUGCGAGCGUUGUCCGGAAUUAUUGGGCGUAAAGAGCUCGUAGGCGGUCUGUCGCGUCUGCUGUGAAAACUCGGGGCUUAACCCCGGGCCUGCAGUGGGUACGGGCAGACUAGAGUGCGGUAGGGGAGACUGGAAUUCCUGGUGUAGCGGUGAAAUGCGCAGAUAUCAGGAGGAACACCCGUGGCGAAGGCGGCCACCUGGGCCUAACCUGACGCUGAGGCGCGAAGGCUAGGGGAGCGAACGGG
rnacentral:rRNA from 1 species